rnacentral:rRNA from 1 species
GUGGGGAAUAUUGCACAAUGGGCGCAAGCCUGAUGCAGCGACGCCGCGUGGGGGAUGACGGCCUUCGGGUUGUAAACUCCUUUCGCUAUCGACGAAGCCACCUUGGGUGGUGACGGUAGGUAGAUAAGAAGCACCGGCUAACUACGUGCCAGCAGCCGCGGUAAUACGUAGGGUGCAAGCGUUGUCCGGAAUUACUGGGCGUAAAGAGCUCGUAGGUGGUUUGUCGCGUCGUCUGUGAAAUCCCGGGGCUUAACUUCGGGCGUGCAGGCGAUACGGGCAUAACUUGAGUGCUGUAGGGGAGACUGGAAUUCCUGGUGUAGCGGUGAAAUGCGCAGAUAUCAGGAGGAACACCGAUGGCGAAGGCAGGUCUCUGGGCAGUAACUGACGCUGAGGAGCGAAAGCAUGGGUAGCGAACAGGAUUAGAAACCCCAGUAGUCC